rnacentral:rRNA from 1 species
AGUGAACGCUGGCGGUAGGCCUAACACAUGCAAGUCGAACGGCAGCACAGUAAGAGCUUGCUCUUACGGGUGGCGAGUGGCGGACGGGUGAGGAAUACAUCGGAAUCUACUUUUUCGUGGGGGAUAACGUAGGGAAACUUACGCUAAUACCGCAUACGACCUACGGGUGAAAGCAGGGGAUCUUCGGACCUUGCGCGGUUGAAUGAGCCGAUGUCGGAUUAGCUAGUUGGCGGGGUAAAGGCCCACCAAGGCGACGAUCCGUAGCUGGUCUGAGAGGAUGAUCAGCCACACUGGAACUGAGACACGGUCCAGACUCCUACGGGAGGCAGCAGUGGGGAAUAUUGGACAAUGGGCGCAAGCCUGAUCCAGCCAUACCGCGUGGGUGAAGAAGGCCUUCGGGUCGUAAAGCCCUUUUGUUGGGAAAGAAAAGCAGCAGGUUAAUACCCCGCUGUUCUGACGGUACCCAAAGAAUAAGCACCGGCUAACUUCGUG